rnacentral:precursor_RNA from 1 species
UAUCAUCAAAUAUACUUUAAGCCUCACUUAUAUUUUUAUAUUUGCUCGAUUUUUUGAAUAAGACGAAUUGUCAACAUAUAUCUAAAAGUCAACAGCGUCAUACAUUUAAAAACAGAGGGAGUACAAUACUACAUCCAUCCCAAGGUGUAACUAUAUCUAGCUAUGAAUCUAGACAAGUUCAUAUCCAGAUUCAAAGCCAAAGAGAGCUACAUUUUGGGCAGGAGGUUUUACUACACUAUGCGACCUUUGUAGGUUAGGAGCCAAAAAGAUAAAUAGUAACUAGAAAACUGAUAGAAAAAUUCUAAACAAAUCAAAAAUGAGUUCCAUCUGGUCAAAAAUAUGACAUUUGGCUUUUUCAAUCAGACUUUUAAAACUUAACUACCAAUAUAUUUUAAAACGCAUGUUUGAAAACAUUAAAAAGACAUGUGCAGAUUUUUCUUGAAAAGUACUUCCAUAAUAUAAUAAACUUGUUCACACCACGAAGAUCAUAAGAAAAGUCAAACAUCAUAUAUUUUGGACCAGAGGAGUAACAAACUAUGAUACUCCCUCCGUCCCAAAAUAAACAAACCUAGUACAGGACUAGGAAGUGCCACAUCCCCGUACUAGCUUUGUUUAUUUUGGGACAGAGGGAGUACCUAGGAAUGCUACGAGACUAGCCAGUAGUUUUCUUGUGC